rnacentral:rRNA from 1 species
AACGAACGCUGGCGGCAUGCCUAACACAUGCAAGUCGAACGAGACCUUCGGGUCUAGUGGCGCACGGGUGCGUAACGCGUGGGAACCUGCCCUUAGGUUCGGAAUAACUCCCCGAAAGGGGUGCUAAUACCGGAUAAUGUCUUCGGACCAACGAUUUAUCGCCUUUGGAUGGGCCCGCGUUGGAUUAGCUGGUUGGUAGGGUAAAAGCCUACCAAGGCGACGAUCCAUAGCUGGUCUGAGAGGAUGAUCAGCCACACUGGGACUGAGACACGGCCCAGACUCCUACGGGAGGGAGCAGUGGGGAAUAUUGGACGAGGGGCGAAAGCCUGAUCCAGCAAUGCCGCGUGAGUGAUGAAGGCCUUAGGGUUGUAAAGCUGUUUUACCCGGGAUGAUAAUGACAGUACCGGGAGAAUAAGCUCCGGCUAACUCCGUG